UUAUGUUAUCUCGAUUUAUAAGAUUUGUAAAUUGCAAAAAGUUGAAAAACAAACGUUUCUUUACCUGAAAAAUGAAAGUAGGUUUGCAGUUUCUUAUUCUGUCAAGUGCUAUUGCACUUUAAAGUGUCAAAACAGCACCUCUCGAUUUUGUAAACAUGUUUCCACGUGGAAGGGAGUAGUUGUGAUGGUCAAGAUUAACCCACAUACAUUGAUUUAGUGAACAAAAACACUCGUACAGCUGUAGAGUACAUUUUGAACAGCCAUCUCCAGGAUAUACUCUGAAGACAGUGAUGUGCAAGUUCAAGGUUUGCCUGUUCAGAUACUUCAAUAACAAAGAAUGGGUGAAAAAAAUCUCACAUUAUCAUGCUGCAUAAUAGCACAUUUCAGCUGUAACAAAACAAAUUGAUGAAAGCUUCAACCACUAGAAUCUAGGAAAGGAUGUCAAGUCCAAAGAGAAGGCCAUAUAACAAAUGGUUGCUGAAUUCAUGAAGACUAGCUGGGAUGAUACAGUACUUUUCUACUCAUAUGAACCAUAUCUAAAAAUCAUUUCAGGAUCCCUUUCUCAGAAAAAAAGAAUUUGCAUAUUCAAAGACUCUAUAGUUUAUUGUUUAUUUGUUUGUUUAACAUUCUUCUUGAGAAAUUUUCACUCAUAUGGGGAUGCCAACAUUUGUCGGUGGAGAGCUGCAAAUUUUGUCCUUUACUUGGCACACAUGGCUAAUUGAGCAAUGAGGGAUCUUUUUGGUACUAGCACCUACUGCAACACAGGACCUCUGUAUAUACAGUCUCAUCUAUGUCCGACUGUGGGAUUUCGAACCAGCAAUUUAUGGAUCAGCUCCUUACUCAUGACUCUCGAGCAGAUGCUCUUGCCACUGUGCCAUGCAGGUGACUUCAUAGGUUAUAAAAUGAUAAGAUUCAUAACUUAAAACUGAUUUUUUUUAUUCAAUCACAGUAUAGAAAAUGUUUGCGAAAAAGGGAGGUAAUAGCUACAUGUAGCUCUCACUGGUAUUGCAUGCUUAAACUAUAUGAAUUACAUAUAUUGUAAUUACACAUGUAUUUUAAACCAGAUCAGUAAAGAAAGAAACACUUGAAUAUUUUUACUUUGAAUUUUAUUAUAAGGUUGAUUAUCUUUUAAAAAAAUGGAACUUUUAAUUUUUUUUUUGAGUAGGAAA